UCCAGACUCCUACGGGAGGCAGCAGUGGGGGAUAUUGCACAAUGGGGGGAACCCUGAUGCAGCGACGCCGCGUGGGUGAAGAAGCGCCUCGGCGCGUAAAGCCCUGUCAGCAGGGAAGAAAAUGACGGUACCUGAAGAAGAAGCCCCGGCUAACUACGUGCCAGCAGCCGCGGUAAUACGUAUGGUGCAAGCGUUAUCCGGAUUUACUGGGUGUAAAGGGAGCGCAGGCGGCGCGUUAAGCCUGGUGUGAAAGCCCGCGGCCCAACCGCGGGACUGCAUUGGGAACUGGCGCGCUGGAGUGCCGGAGGGGUAGGCGGAAUUCCUGGUGUAGCGGUGAAAUGCGUAGAUAUCAGGAGGAACACCGGCGGCGAAGGCGGCCUGCUGGACCGUGACUGACGUUGAGGCUCGAGAGCGUGGGGAGCAAACAGGAUUAGAUACCCCUGUAGG
rnacentral:rRNA from 1 species